UUCCGGUUGAUCCUGCCGGACCUGACUGCUAUCGGAUUGAUACUAAGCCAUGCGAGUCUUUGUAGUAAUACAAGGCAGACGGCUCAGUAACACGUAGUCAACCUACCCUAUGGACAAGAAUAAUCUCGGGAAACUGGGCAUAAUUCUUGAUAGAUCAUAAUUCCUGGAAUGGUUUAUGGUUAAAAUGAUUCGUCGCCAUAGGAUGGGACUGCGGCCUAUCAGCUUGUUGGUGAGGUAAUGGCCCACCAAGGCGAUUACAGGUACGGGCUCUGAGAGGAGAAGCCCGGAGAUGGGUACUGAGACACGGACCCAGGCCCUAUGGGGCGCAGCAGGCGAGAAAACUUUGCAAUGUGCGAAAGCACGACAAGGUUAAUCCGAGUGAUUUCUGCUAAAGAAAUCUUUUGCCAGUCAUAAAACCACUGGUGAAUAAGGGGUGGGCAAGUUCUGGUGUCAGCCGCCGCGGUAAAACCAGCACCUCAAGUGGUCAGGAUGAUUAUUGGGCCUAAAGCAUCCGUAGCCGGCUUUGUUAGUUUUCGGUUAAAUCCAUGUGCUCAACGCAUGGGCUGCCGAAAAUACUGCAUAGCUAGGGAGUGGGAGAGGUAGACGGUACUCAGUAGGAAGGGGUAAAAUCCUUUGAUCUAUUGAUGACCACCUGUGGCGAAGGCGGUCUACCAGAACACGUUCGACGGUGAGGGAUGAAAGCUGGGGGAGCAAACCGGAUUAGAUACCCGGGUAGUCCCAGCUGUAAACGAUGCAGACUCGAUGAUGCAUUGGCAUAUAGCCAGUGCAGUGUCGCAGGGAAGCCGUUAAGUCUGCCGCCUGGGAAGUACGUACGCAAGUAUGAAACUUAAAGGAAUUGGCGGGGGAGCACCACAAGGGGUGAAGCCUGCGGUUCAAUUGGAUUCAACGCCGG
rnacentral:rRNA from 1 species